CUUCUAGCGGUUGAGGCUAUUGAUGGGAGACCCCUAUCUCAACCAUUGAUUACCCAUGAGACCUUGCCUAUUUGCAUAAGGAAGACAUUACCUUCUUGAUAAAUGCUUACCUCUCUUGUCCCAUUGUGUUAGGUUUCCCUUGGCUCAUCAAGUCUAACCCUCAUAUUGACUGGACUAGAGGGGAAAUACUGGAAUAGAGUAAAGACUGUCAGGAAAACUGCAUUGUGAUGGAGUUCCCUGUACACUGGCUGGGUACCUCCGCCGACGGAUGCUCCUAGUGCUUCUCAAGGACCAUCAGCACCGCAUAAGACACCAUAAGCGCUGCAGACUCCACGAACCGCCGUAGCUUUCCUCGGUGACCAGAUUGAUCAGGUCUGGCUCUAGGUCGUUAGCUCUAGGGAGAUCCAGCAUGUCUUCACGGUACUCAUAUGUCCCAAAACCGUGGCGCUGUAGUAUUCCCAAAGUCUGGGUCGUCAAAGAUUUCCCAUAAUAGACCAGGGCCAUUGUAAUCCUCGCCCUCCGUUUGGACAUCCCUAGCCAUCCAAGGAAUACGCUGAACCGCGUACCACCUUAGCGCCUAGUAUGCUCUAGUUUCUCCACCCAUACCCCCAGGGACUGCUUCCCCAGGAGAGGCAUCCAUAUUGCAACUCUUGCCUGUAGUCACUGUUUCCUGCUGGGGAGACGCUCACCUUGCCAAUGCUGUAUAUCCUCCAGACCUUUGUAUGACAGCUCUUGUCUGGCGGCCUUUCUGUAAGCCAACAUGGCAUUCUCUGAUACAGGUCCAUAGUCUAGGACCACGAGGUUCUGCAACCUCCAGUGAAACGCUUCAUCCACUCCAAAUGCUGUGCAAGGAUUAGCUGGUUCCAUAUUGUGGUAGGUAGGGACGCUGCGCAGUAGCUAGCGUUGCCCUCAAUAGAAUUCCAUACGGUACCGGUGUCUCCAGGGUGCUGCUCCUCACACUAGGACGCCACCACAUGUUUGCAUCUGUUCCAGUUAAAAGUCCAUGGGGCAGAAACAGUACUUUUGAACAUGGGUUAUCACAGGGCCCAUAGUCCCAG